UACGGGGGGGGCAAGCGUUGUUCGGAAUUACUGGGCGUAAAGGGCUCGUAGGUGGCCAACUAAGUCAGACGUGAAAUCCCUCGGCUUAACCGGGGAACUGCGUCUGAUACUGGAUGGCUUGAGUUCGGGAGAGGGAUGCGGAAUUCCAGGUGUAGCGGUGAAAAUGCGCAGAUAUCAGGAGGAACACCGAUGGCGAAGGCAGGUCUCUGGGCCACUACUGACGCUGAGAAGCGAAAGCGUGGGGAGCGAACAGG
rnacentral:rRNA from 1 species